rnacentral:rRNA from 1 species
CGAGGAAUCUUGGGCAAUGGGCGAAAGCCUGACCCAGCGACGCCGCGUGAGGGAAGAAGGCCUUCGGGUCGUAAACCUCUUUUGUGAGGGAAGAAGUUCUGACGGUACCUCACGAAUAAGCCACGGCUAACUACGUGCCAGCAGCCGCGGUAAUACGUAGGUGGCGAGCGUUGUCCGGAUUUACUGGGCGUAAAGGGCUUGGGGGCGGUUCGUUAAGGCCGGUGUGAAAUCGGCCGGCUCAACUGGGCGGGGCCAUCGGAUACUGGCGGACUAGAGGCGAGUAGAGGAAAGCAGAAUUCCCGGUGUAGCGGUGAAAUGCGUAGAUAACGGGAGGAAUACCAGUGGCGAAGGCGGCUUUCUGGACCUGUCCUGACGCUAAGGAGCGAAAGCGUGGAGAGCAAACCGG